UGCGUAGGGGGCAAGCGUUGUCCGGAUUUAUUGGGCGUAAAGAGCGUGUGGGCGGCCUGACAGGUCUGCUGUGAAAACUCGAGGCUCAACCUCGAGAUGUCGGCGGAAACCGUCUGGCUAGAGUCCGGAAGAGGAGAGUGGAAUUCCUGGUGUAGCGGUGAAAUGCGCAGAUAUCAGGAAGAACACCUAUGGCGAAGGCAGCUCUCUGGGACGGUACUGACGCUGAGACGCGAAAGCGUGGGGAGCGAACAGG
rnacentral:rRNA from 1 species